rnacentral:rRNA from 1 species
CGUCCUAUUAGCUAGUUGGUGAGGUAAUGGCUCACCAAGGCUACGAUGGGUAGGGGUUCUUAGUGGAAGGUCCCCCACACUGGCACUGAGAUACGGGCCAGACUCCUACGGGAGGCAGCAGUAGGGAAUAUUGGUCAAUGGGCGCAAGCCUGAACCAGCCAUGCCGCGUGCAGGAUGAAGGCUCUCUGAGUUGUAAACUGCUUUUGUACAGGAGCAAAAAAAUCCCUGCGGGGGUUCUUGAGAGUACUGUAAGAAUAAGCACCGGCUAAUUCCGUGCCAGCAGCCGCGGUAAUACGGGAGGUGCAAGCGUUAUCCGGUUUUAUUGGGUUUAAAGGGUGCGUAGGCGGCUUAUUAAGUCAGUUGUGAAAUCCUAGUGCUUAACGCUAGGACUGCGAUUGAUACUAUU